UGUCACCUCAGUGAUCGGGGAACUGUUGGAACAGGCUGGGAACAGGCUGUGCUGGUGCCAGUGGCACAACACAAAAAAGCAUUCACAAGUAAUGAAGCUCUGAAACACCCUGAGCGGCUUAAAUUGGGGUCAGCUGUGCUAUGGAAAGAAGUGGGCCGGACUGGGGGAGCAGGGAAGUGGCCUCCCCUUUGCCUGUUUGGUAGAAGCAGCCUCCAAGGCAAUGGGAAGCUGUCUUGCUCCUUCUGACCAUCUCUGGAAAAAGUGGGCUCUAACAGAGGUCCUUAACUCUGCUGUAGAUUAGAAUCUGGUCACGUUGGUCUUCUUCAGGAAGGCAGAACUGACCAGGUCCAAGCAAGAGCUUGCUGAAACUUAGCUUCGUACCAACCAGUCUGUGGUUCCCUUUUGACAAUGCCGUCCCUCUGACCAAAGGAAACUCAUCAAGUCAAGUCAUAAAGACCUGCCACAGCAAGGUGAAAACUUGGCCCAAAGAUUAAGUGCUUUGCUGGCCUUCAGAAAAUGUGAAGCAGAGACAAAUGAUGAACUCAAGUCACCUGGUGUCCUGUUAGAUCUUCUCUUACCCAAGCUGCCAGCCUGCUUUGUUGGAAACUCAGCAAGAAACACGGGUAAUGAACCUGCCCAAGUGUAUGGAAGAACGGCUCUGCUGCUAAACAGCAAGUCUGACCAAAGGAGCCUGGGUCGGUCACAGGAUGCCCUUCAUGCAGCUGUCUGGAGACAAGAGUUUUAUGCUCACAGUUCAUCUUGGGAUUUCCACUUUACAUAUGUCGGGAGUGCAAUUCCGUUGGCUCCCAGGAGAAUCUGUUCAGCAGAACAUCCAGACGUGUUAAUUAUUAUUCUUUCUGCUCAUUUAAUGGCUGAACAGUCUCUUGCCAUCCUCUUGCGGAACAAGACCACCCAUAAAACAGUUUGA
rnacentral:lncRNA from 1 species